rnacentral:rRNA from 1 species
CUACGGGAGGCAGCAGUGAGGAAUAUUGGACAAUGGAUGGAAAUCUGAUCCAGCCAUGCCGCGUGCAGGAAGACGGCCCUAUGGGUUGUAAACUGCUUUUGUAUGGGAGCAAUAAGGUCUAUGCGUAGACUGAUGAGAGUACCAUACGAAUAAGCAUCGGCUAACUCCGUGCCAGCAGCCGCGGUAAUACGGGGGAUGCAAGCGUUAUCCGGAUUUAUUGGGUUUAAAGGGUGCGUAGGCGGUUUGAUAAGUCAGCGGUGAAAUAUUUCAGCUUAACUGAAAGGGUGCCGUUGAUACUGUCAGGCUUGAAUAUGGUUGCUGUGGGUGGAAUGUGUGGUGUAGCGGUGAAAUGCUUAGAUAUCACACAGAACACCGAUUGCGAAGGCAGCUCACAAAGCCAUUAUUGACGCUGAUGCACGAAAGUGUGGGGAUCAAACAGGAUUAGAUACCCUGGUAGUCCACACUGUAAACGAUGAUAACUCGCUGUCGGCGAUACACAGUCGGUAGCCAAGCGAAAGCGAUAAGUUAUCCACCUGGGAGUACGACCGCAAGGUGAACUCAAAGGAAUUGACGGGGCCGCACAAGCGGAGGACAUGUGGUUUAAUUCGAUGAUACGCGAGGAACCUUACCCGGGCUCGAACGGUGCAGGAAUACGUCAGAGAUGAUGUAGCCAGCAAUAGUCUGUAUCGAGGUGCUGCAUGGUUGUCGUCAGCUCGUGCCGUGAGGUGUCGGCUUAAGUGCCAUAACGAGCGCAACCCUUGUCGUUAGUUGUCAUCAGGUAAUGCUGGGAACUCUAGCGAGACUGCCACCGUAAGGUGUGAGGAAGGGGGGGAUGACGUCAAGUCAGCACGGCCCUUACGUCCGGGGCGACACACGUGUUACAAUGGUAGGUACAGAGGGCAGCUACCCAGCAAUGGGGUGCGAAUCUCAAAAGCCUAUCUCAGUUCGGAUCGGAGUCUGCAACUCGACUCCGUGAAGCUGGAUUCGCUAGUAAUCGCGCAUCAGCCAUGGCGCGGUGAAUACGUUCCCGGGCCUUGUACACACCGCC